rnacentral:Y_RNA from 1 species
GGCUCAUCUGAAGGUAAUGAGUUAUCUCAAUUAAUUGUUCACAGUUGGUUACAGAUCGAACUCCUUGUUCUACUCUUUCCCCUCUUCUCACUGCUGCACUUGACUAGUCUUAA